CUGCCAAUGGAAAGAUCAAAGAAGAAAAAGCUUGAACAAGCCUUCGAUUCGAGUGGAUCAACAUUUCGGUUGUGACAGAAGAUAGGGUCUUGGUGCCUUUAAGGUUGGGAUGUUGUUCAUCAUAAAGGAGGGAAAGUUUGGUUAGAGCAUAUGGAUUGUUUAUUACAAUUGCAGACGCUAUUGGAGCAACAAUCGCAUAGCCUUGUCUUUUCACUUUGAUAUGUUAAUCUUUUAACACUUGUGAGUUUUAGCAAGUGUAGAAUUUUUUUAUUACAUAACUUCAAGCUCAUAUACCUGUUUUUGAAUUGUAGAUUGUGCAUGACGAAGAUUGAUAUCUCUCGUUUGUAGGACACAAUAAGAUUUUUUGUAUUUGC